CUAGACUUUCUCGCUUAAUAUUUACGCUCGGUUGUGCCUGUAUCGAAGAAAAUGAAGACCAGUCCAAAACAUUGCGUCAUUUAGUAUUUAGCACGCGCUAGAGUGAUUCAAAACAUCGAAUUUGACCGACACUGAACAGAGGUAAAUGGCUAUUUUCUUUGAAAAUAUAACACUUUCUAGUUCAAAAGAUAAAACCCAGAUGUAUACAUGGCCUGGAUUUCCAUAUUAUGCUGCCCAGAAUAAAAGACGAUGCAGUCCAGAUAAAAACAUUAUGCAUCAGAUGAAGUCUUUGACUAUCUAGAAAGGGAUUUUGUAAGCUAGUACUGGACAUGAAGACAGUCACUUGGAAAUGAUGAUUGUGCAACAGCGGUUAAACAUAUGCAAUACAUCAUAUGGUGACCAGACAGGGAGGAAACUAGGGAAAUGGU